rnacentral:rRNA from 1 species
AGCUGAUCACUGGGUGUAAAGAGUGCGCAGGCGGUUUUGUAAGACAGAGGUGAAAUCCCCGGGCUCAACCUGGGAACUGCCUUUGCGACUGCAAGGCUGGAGUGCGGCAGAGGGGGAUGGAAUUCCGCGUGUAGCAGUGAAAUGCGUAGAUAUGCGGAGGAACACCGAUGGCGAAGGCAAUCCCCUGGGCCUGCACUGACGCUCAUGCACGAAAGCGUGGGGAGCAAACA